rnacentral:rRNA from 1 species
AACGAACGCUGGCGGCAUGCCUCAUACAUGCAAGUCGAACGAGGUCUUCGGACCUAGUGGCGCACGGGUGAGUAACAUGUGGGAAUCUACCUGAAGGUUCGGAAUAACUGCGGGAAACUGUAGCUAAUACCGGAUGUGUCUGCAAAGAGAAAGAUUUAUCGCCUUCAGAUGAGCCCGCACUAGAUUAGCUAGUUGGUGAGGUAAUUCGCUCCACCAAGGCUACGAUCUAUAGCUGAUUUGAGAGGAUGAUCAGCCACACUGGGACUGAGACACGGCCCAGACUCCUACGGGAGGCAGCAGUAGGGAAUAUUGGACAAUGGGGGAAAACCCUGAUCCAGCAAUGCCGCGUGAGUGAAGAAGGCCUUCGGGUUGUAAAACUCUUUCAUCAAUGAUGAUAAUGACAUUAGUUGAAGAAGAAGCCCCGGCUAACUUCGUGCCAGCAGCCGCGGUAAUACGAAGGGGGCUAGCGUUGUUCGGAAUCACUGGGCGUAAAGCGUAUGUAGGCGGAUCAAAAAGUUAGAUGUGAAAUCCCUGGGCUCAACCCAGGAACUGCAUUUAAAACUAGUGAUCUAGAAUUUGGUAGGGGUUAGUAGAAUUUCCAGUGUAGAGGUGAAAUUCGUAGAUAUUGGAAAGAAUACCAGUGGCGAAGGCGACUAACUGGGCCAUUUUUGACGCUGAGAUACGAAAGCGUGGGUAGCAAACAGGAUUAGAUACCCUGGUAGUCCACGCAGUAAACGAUGAGUGCUAGUCACUGGGACAAUAGUUUCAGUGUCGAAGCUAACGCAUUAAGCACUCCGCCUGGGAAGUACGGUCGCAAGAUUAAAACUCAAAUAAAUUGACGGGGGCCCGCACAAGCGGUGGAGCAUGUGGUUUAAUUCGAAGCAACGCGAAGAACCUUACCAGACCUUGACAUGGUGUGUUUGAAUUACAGAAUCGUAAUUCUUCAGUUCGGCUGGCACACACACAGGUGCUGCAUGGCUGUCGUCAGCUCGUGUCGUGAGAUGUUGGGUUAAGUCCCGCAACGAGCGCAACCCUCAUUUUUAGUUGCCAGCAGGUUAAGCUGGGCACUCUAAAAAAACUGCCGGUGAUAAGCUGGAGGAAGGCGGGGAUGACGUCAAGUCCUCAUGGCCCUUACGGUCUGGGCUACACACGUGCUACAAUGGUGGUGACAGUGGGCAGCAAUACUGCAAAGUAAAGCUAAUCCCAAAAAACCAUCUCAGUUCGGAUUGGACUCUGCAACUCGAGUCCAUGAAGUUGGAAUCGCUAGUAAUCGUAGAUCAGCGUGCUACGGUGAAUACGUUCUCGGGCCU